rnacentral:rRNA from 1 species
UAUGGGCGCACGCUGACCACCCAAGUACCGUGAAGGAUGACUGCCCUNCNGGUUGUAACCUNCUUUUAUAAAGGAAUAAAGNCGGGUAUGUAUCCCCGUUUGCAUGUNCUUUAUGAAUAAGGANCGNCUAACUCCGUGCCCACCACCCCCGGUAAUNCGGAGGANCCGAGCCGUUANCCGGAUUUAUUGGGUUUAAAGGGAGCCGUAGAUGGAUGUUUAAGNCAGUUGUGAAAGUUUGCGGCCNCACCCGUAAAAUUGCAGUUGAUNCUGGAUAUCCUUGAGUGCCAGUUGAGGCCAGGCCGGAAUUCGUGGUGUACCGGUGAAAUGCUUAGAUAUCNCGAAGAACNCCGAUUGCGAAGGCAGCCCUGCCUAAGCCUGCCANCUGANCAUUGAGGCCUCGAAAGUGUGGGUAUCAAACAGGAUUAGAUNCCCUGGUAGUCCCAAGGGCGAAUUC